rnacentral:rRNA from 1 species
UGGGGAAUUUUCCGCAAUGGGCGAAAGCCUGACGGAGCAAUACNGCGUGAGGGAGGAAUGCCUUUGGGUUGUAAACCUCUUUUCUCAGGGAAGAAGAUCUGACGGUACCUGAGGAAUAAGUAUCGGCUAACUCCGUGCCAGCAGCCGCGGUAAUACGGAGGAUGCAAGCGUUAUCCGGAAUCAUUGGGCGUAAAGCGUCCGCAGGUGGUUUCCAAAGUCUGCUGUUAAAGACUGGAGCUCAACUCCGGAACGGCGGUGGAAACUUGGAAACUAGAGUUCGGUAGGGGUAGCAGGAAUUCCCAGUGUAGCGGUGAAAUGCGUAGAUAUUGGGAAGAACAUCGGUGGCGAAGGCGUGCUACUGGACCGUAACUGACACUCAGGGACGAAAGCUAGGGGAGCGAAAGGGAUUAGAUACCCCUGUAGUCCUAGCUGUAAACGAUGGAAACUAGGUGUGGCU